GACGAACGCUGGCGGCGUGCUUAACACAUGCAAGUCGAACGGAAAGGCCCUGCUUUUGUGGGGUGCUCGAGUGGCGAACGGGUGAGUAACACGUGAGUAACCUGCCCUUGACUUUGGGAUAACUUCAGGAAACUGGGGCUAAUACCGGAUAGGAGCUCCUGCUGCAUGGUGGGGGUUGGAAAGUUUCGGCGGUUGGGGAUGGACUCGCGGCUUAUCAGCUUGUUGGUGGGGUAGUGGCUUACCAAGGCUUUGACGGGUAGCCGGCCUGAGAGGGUGACCGGCCACAUUGGGACUGAGAUACGGCCCAGACUCCUACGGGAGGCAGCAGUGGGGAAUAUUGCACAAUGGGCGGAAGCCUGAUGCGGCAACGCCGCGUGCGGGAUGACGGCCUUCGGGUUGUAAACCGCUUCCGCCUGUGACGAAGCGUGAGUGACGGUAAUGGGUAAAGAAGCACCGGCUAACUACGUG
rnacentral:rRNA from 1 species